GUAAAACUAGAACACAGAAGCAGAUCUCUGUGCACACUGGGAUCUGAUCCUUGAUCGCAGAACUACAAGGCCUUGGGGCACAGAUACAAUGAUACGGUGAUUAAGUUGUGGGGAGAGCAGACCCUUGCUGCGGAAAAAAAUUGCAUCGUCUACAAAUGCCAUAUAUGAAAUGGAUUCUAGAUGUCACCCCAGGACCUGAUGAGUCAGAAGCUGUGGGAAGGGGAAGCACAGCCCUGCUGAAAACGAACACCAGAUGAAACAGGCCCAGAGAGGUGAAGUCAUUUGCUCAAGGGCACACAGUGAUGGAACAGGAGCAGCCAAGAUUUCCAUCUAAGAAUACCUGAAUCUGAAGCUCAGGUUCCUAAACACCACCCUUUCUGAGAUUUAAUUCAUUAUCAUGAUCAAAUCUUAAUGCUGGAAGGGUUAGGAAAAGUAUCUAAAUCCUUCACCCUUUAUGCCCCUAUACCUAGCACAAAGCCUUAUGCAAGAUGGGCUUCAAAUAAAACCUUAUUGAAUGAAUAAAUGAAUGAACACUACUCACUGAUCUGAAUAUUACUCACUGAUUCGGCUCAUCACACUUGCAUACUUUUUCCUCCACUUACAAAAAUUAUAUAUAAUUUGCAUAUAGUGGAAAUCAUCCUUUUUACAGAUAAGAAUUUAUAGUUAGUGGGUUCUGCAAGUUUUGCCAUAGUCAAUUGUGUAACCAUUACCACAAACAACAUAUAAAAUGAUUGCAUUAUCCUCCCACAUUUUCUCAUUCUCCUUAAUAGUAAAUCCUAAUAGUAAAUCCCCUGCCCCCAAGUCCCACUCCAGACCCUGGCAACUGCCAAACUGUUUUCUGUCCCUCUAGGUUGCUUUUGCAAGACUGUCACAUAAAGGGAACCAUGCAGUCUGUAGCCUUUUGAGUCUGGCUUCAUUCAUUUAAUAUAAUACAUUUACGGUUCACCCAUGUUGCUGGGUAUAUCCAUCAUGCAUUCCUUUUUAUCCCAUUGUAUAGAUGUCCCACAGUUUGUUUAUAUAUUUCCCUAUUGAAGGAUAUUCAGGUUGUUUCCAGGUUUUGGCUAUGAAAAUUAAAACCUUUAAAACAUUCUUGUACAGGGCUUUGUGUGAACAUAACUUCACUUCUCUAGGCUAAAUGCCAAAGAGAGGAUCGCAGCGUCAUAUAUGGUAAAUGUAUAUAGUUAUGAGCAACUGCUAAAUUGUUUUUUUCUGUGUUUUCUGUAUUUUUACCAGCCAUGUAUGAGUUCCAGUUACUCUAAAUCCUUGUUAGCACUUGAUAGCAUCAAAUUUAAAAUAUUUUCAGCCAUUUUAAUAGAUGUGUGGAUGGAUCUCAUUCUGGUUUUAAUUUGCAUUUCUCUCAUGACUAAUGAUGUUGAGCAUCUUUUCGUGUGCUUAGUUACCAUCU